rnacentral:rRNA from 1 species
GAUGAACGAUGGCGGCGUGCCUAAUACAUGCAAGUCGAGCGAACAGACGAGGAGCUUGCUCCUCUGACGUUAGCGGCGGACGGGUGAGUAACACGUGGAUAACCUACCUAUAAGACUGGGAUAACUUCGGGAAACCGGAGCUAAUACCGGAUAAUAUAUUGAACCGCAUGGUUCAAUAGUGAAAGACGGUUUUGCUGUCACUUAUAGAUGGAUCCGCGCCGCAUUAGCUAGUUGGUAAGGUAACGGCUUACCAAGGCAACGAUGCGUAGCCGACCUGAGAGGGUGAUCGGCCACACUGGAACUGAGACACGGUCCAGACUCCUACGGGAGGCAGCAGUAGGGAAUCUUCCGCAAUGGGCGAAAGCCUGACGGAGCAACGCCGCGUGAGUGAUGAAGGUCUUCGGAUCGUAAAACUCUGUUAUUAGGGAAGAACAAAUGUGUAAGUAACUAUGCACGUCUUGACGGUACCUAAGCAGAAAGCCACGGCUAACUACGU